rnacentral:tRNA from 1 species
CGGGAUGUGGCUCAGCUUGGUAGAGCGCUUUUUUUUUUUUCGGGACGCAGAGGUCGCUGGUUCGAAUCCAGUCAUCCCGACCA